AUGGCAUUUAACAAUAUAAAUCUCCAUUUUCAGUGCUCGCAUAAAUCUAAUGAUUUUUUUCUCUUGAGCAAAGAGUCUUUAAUGCCUUCCUGGUGUGUUUUGCAGAGCACUGGAUCAACAUCACACAUGGAAUAUAUUUGUAAAGAGACAGGCAGGAUUAUGUCAUACCCAGAAGGGAUAAUAAUCAGGUUUUCACAAGCUCAGCAUCAAAUACAGGGCUUCCAUACCAGAGGCCACCUGCUCCAACAGAACAGCAGUCCUUUAUGA
rnacentral:lncRNA from 1 species